UACGUAGGGGGCAAGCGUUGUCCGGAUUUAUUGGGCGUAAAGAGCGUGUAGGCGGCUUUGCAGGUCCGCUGUGAAAACUCGAGGCUCAACCUCGAGCUGUCGGUGGAAACCGUAAAGCUAGAGUCCGGAAGAGGAGAGUGGAAUUCCCGGUGUAGCGGUGAAAUGCGCAGAUAUCGGGAAGAACACCCGUGGCGAAGGCGGGCUC
rnacentral:rRNA from 1 species